rnacentral:sRNA from 1 species
UAGAGAGUCUUGGAGACUGAAGUCUUUCAUUUAGCCACAGAAUAGGUACAGCAUGAACAAGUGAGAAUGAGUUUCAAGACACUGCUCUACCAAUGUGCUCCCACUCUGACCUAAUGGGACUAACUCCAGCUGUGAUAGGGUAGUUCAAUGUCAUGGGCCCAUUCAAUUCUGGCUCCU